CAGUCGCCGCGGGAAUACGAAGGGGGCUAGCGUUGUUCGGACUUACUGGGCGUAAAGCGCACGUAGGCGGAUCGAUCAGUCAGGGGUGAAAUCCUGGAGCUCAACUCCAGAACUGCCUUUGAUACUGUCGAUCUCGAGUCCGGAAGAGGUGAGUGGAACUCCUAGUGUAGAGGUGGAAUUCGUAGAUAUUAGGAAGAACACCAGUGGCGAAGGCGGCUCACUGGUCCGGUACUGACGCUGAGGUGCGAAAGCGUGGGGAGCAAACAGGAUUAGAUACCCCUGUAGUCCCUGUCUCUUAUAA
rnacentral:rRNA from 1 species